UACGUAGGCAGCAAGCGUUGUUCGGAAUUACUGGGCGUAAAGAGUGUGUAGGCGGUGCUCCAAGUCUGGUGUGAAAUCUCCCGGCUUAACUGGGAGGGUGCAUUAGAAACUGGAAUGCUAGAGGAUGGGAGAGGUAAGCGGAAUUCCUGGUGUAGCGGUGAAAUGCGCAGAUAUCAGGAGGAACACCGGUGGCGAAGGCGGUUCUCUGGGCAUGUUCUGACGCUGAGGAGCGAAAGUGUGGGGAGCGAACAGG
rnacentral:rRNA from 1 species